rnacentral:rRNA from 1 species
AAAUUGAAGAGUUUGAUCAUGGCUCAGAUUGAACGCUGGCGGCAGGCCUAACACAUGCAAGUCGAACGGUAACAGGAAGCAGCUUGCUGCUUUGCUGACGAGUGGCGGACGGGUGAGUAAUGUCUGGGAAACUGCCUGAUGGAGGGGGAUAACUACUGGAAACGGUAGCUAAUACCGCAUAACGUCGCAAGACCAAAGAGGGGGACCUUCGGGCCUCUUGCCAUCGGAUGUGCCCAGAUGGGAUUAGCUAGUAGGUGGGGUAACGGCUCACCUAGGCGACGAUCCCUAGCUGGUCUGAGAGGAUGACCAGCCACACUGGAACUGAGACACGGUCCAGACUCCUACGGGAGGCAGCAGUGGGGAAUAUUGCACAAUGGGCGCAAGCCUGAUGCAGCCAUGCCGCGUGUAUGAAGAAGGCCUUCGGGUUGUAAAGUACUUUCAGCGGGGAGGAAGGCGAUAAGGUUAAUAACCUUGUCGAUUGACGUUACCCGCAGAAGAAGCACCGGCUAACUCCGUGCCAGCAGCCGCGGUAAUACGGAGGGUGCAAGCGUUAAUCGGAAUUACUGGGCGUAAAGCGCACGCAGGCGGUCUGUCAAGUCGGAUGUGAAAUCCCCGGGCUCAACCUGGGAACUGCAUUCGAAACUGGCAGGCUAGAGUCUUGUAGAGGGGGGUAGAAUUCCAGGUGUAGCGGUGAAAUGCGUAGAGAUCUGGAGGAAUACCGGUGGCGAAGGCGGCCCCCUGGACAAAGACUGACGCUCAGGUGCGAAAGCGUGGGGAGCAAACAGGAUUAGAUACCCUGGUAGUCCACGCCGUAAACGAUGUCGACUUGGAGGUUGUGCCCUUGAGGCGUGGCUUCCGGAGCUAACGCGUUAAGUCGACCGCCUGGGGAGUACGGCCGCAAGGUUAAAACUCAAAUGAAUUGACGGGGGCCCGCACAAGCGGUGGAGCAUGUGGUUUAAUUCGAUGCAACGCGAAGAACCUUACCUACUCUUGACAUCCAGAGAACUUUCCAGAGAUGGAUUGGUGCCUUCGGGAACUCUGAGACAGGUGCUGCAUGGCUGUCGUCAGCUCGUGUUGUGAAAUGUUGGGUUAAGUCCCGCAACGAGCGCAACCCUUAUCCUUUGUUGCCAGCGGUUCGGCCGGGAACUCAAAGGAGACUGCCAGUGAUAAACUGGAGGAAGGUGGGGAUGACGUCAAGUCAUCAUGGCCCUUACGAGUAGGGCUACACACGUGCUACAAUGGCGCAUACAAAGAGAAGCGACCUCGCGAGAGCAAGCGGACCUCAUAAAGUGCGUCGUAGUCCGGAUUGGAGUCUGCAACUCGACUCCAUGAAGUCGGAAUCGCUAGUAAUCGUGGAUCAGAAUGCCACGGUGAAUACGUUCCCGGGCCUUGUACACACCGCCCGUCACACCAUGGGAGUGGGUUGCAAAAGAAGUAGGUAGCUUAACCUUCGGGAGGGCGCUUACCACUUUGUGAUUCAUGACUGGGGUGAAGUCGUAACAAGGUAACCGUAGGGGAACCUGCGGUUGGAUCACCUCCUUACCUUAAAGAA